rnacentral:rRNA from 1 species
AUUUGUUUAACUAUGGCAAAAAGAAGUUUAUGUGGCAUUAAUUGCAUGAAAUAUUUGUAUUUUGUUGUUAAUUUAUAAUUGAUUUUUUUAUUCAGCAAUUAGUUUUUUGUUAAAAUUUAUGUUUUAUAAGAUUGUCAUAUAUUAUGGGGAUAGGACACAGUGCCAGCAUCUGCGGUUAGUCUGUUUUCUUUGCUUUUUAAUAGAUUGUGGUUAGUUAUUUAUAAAUGAAAUUAGGUUAAAUUUUUUCAUUUUAAUUUUUGAUAAUUAGUUAUUGAGUAAGUUUGUUUUGUGACAGGGAUUAGAUACCCCAUUAACAGAAUUGUUAUAUUUAUCUUAGUUUUAUAACUAAAAUAGUUUGGCAGUGAGUGAUUCUUAUUAGGGGAAGGUGUGUUGUAAUGGAUGUUCCGCCAAAUAAUUUACUUCUAUUAUGUUGGUGUAUAUCUGGUUUGAUAUUACUGUUUAAUAAUAUAAUUUGUGUAUAAUUUGUUAAGCCAAGUCAAUGUGCUGCUUAUAGGAGUGUUCAUGCGUUACAUUUAUAAUCUAUUCAUUGUAAGUUUGAAUAAAUUUAGGACUUAAUAGUAAUGUUUAAUUAAUUUGUUGAUGUGAAAUAAGUUUAACUCAGGUACACACCGCCCGUCACCCUCGAUAUUUUGUUGAGGUAAGUCGUAACAAGGUAACUUUAAAUGAAUUUGAAGUUAAUUAUUAUAUUGGUUAGUAUAUAAUUUUA